rfam:Aedes aegypti strain Liverpool supercont1.2598 genomic scaffold, whole genome shotgun sequence.
GGCUCGGUAGCUUAGUUGGUAAAGCGCUCGUCUAGCAUAAAAGAGUCCUGGGUUCAAAUCCCAGCCGAGCAU